UGGGGAAUAUUGCACAAUGGGCGCAAGCCUGAUGCAGCCAUGCCGCGUGUGUGAAGAAGGCCUUCGGGUUGUAAAGCACUUUCAGCGAGGAGGAAGGCAUUAAGGUUAAUAACCUUAGUGAUUGACGUUACUCGCAGAAGAAGCACCGGCUAACUCCGUGCCAGCAGCCGCGGUAAUACGGAGGGUGCAAGCGUUAAUCGGAAUUACUGGGCGUAAAGCGCACGCAGGCGGUUUGUUAAGU
rnacentral:rRNA from 1 species